rnacentral:rRNA from 1 species
GAUGAACGCUGGCGGCGUGCCUAAUACAUGCAAGUCGAGCGAACGGACGAGAAGCUUGCUUCUCUGAUGUUAGCGGCGGACGGGUGAGUAACACGUGGAUAACCUACCUAUAAGACUGGGAUAACUUCGGGAAACCGGAGCUAAUACCGGAUAAUAUUUUGAACCGCAUGGUUCAAAAGUGAAAGACGGUCUUGCUGUCACUUAUAGAUGGAUCCGCGCUGCAUUAGCUAGUUGGUAAGGUAACGGCUUACCAAGGCAACGAUGCAUAGCCGACCUGAGAGGGUGAUCGGCCACACUGGAACUGAGACACGGUCCAGACUCCUACGGGAGGCAGCAGUAGGGAAUCUUCCGCAAUGGGCGAAAGCCUGACGGAGCAACGCCGCGUGAGUGAUGAAGGUCUUCGGAUCGUAAAACUCUGUUAUUAUGGAAGAACAAAUGUGUAAGUAACUGUGCACAUCUUGACGGUACCUAAUCAGAAAGCCACGGCUAACUACGUG